rnacentral:lncRNA from 10 species
CAGAGCCGCUUGUUCCUAAUUACCUGCCUCUUGAUUGCCAUUAAACCAUCAUUACACAUCCAGACCCAUAAAAGCCCCUAUGAAUGCAGCACCUUAUACUUAAUUUUUAUCCCUUCCUCCUGCUUUUGCCAAAAACAUUUUGCUGGGGUCCUAGGAAGAUAGAUGAAGACAUCUUGGAUGCAGUGAGAGGCUGCAGGCUGCGGCCAUCUGCCAUUUUGGGAUCUGACAAAACUGGUAACAGGUUUCUGCCACUGUGUUUUCCUGGGGUGGUGCAUCUUUUCUUUCUGAGAGAGAAAAGGGAGACAAGGGAAAAGAGGCAAAGAAGGAGGGCAUGUCCUCUUUUUUCAUGCUGGGAAAAAUGAGUCUUGGUUAAUUCAGCCCUUAGCUGUUGUAGGUGAAUGGCCAGGCUCCAGGGUCAGGGUUUUGUUGAAGCCUGGGAUGACCUUGGCCUUGGGAACACCUGUGUUAUGUCCCUGGGAUCUGAUUGAUGCCAAAGUAGGACCUAGACUGUGAUGUGACUGAUGACAACAAUGGCCGCUGCAUUUCAAGUACCUCCCAUGAAUGAGGCAAUGUGUUAAGCAUUUUCUUAUAGAACAGUGUCUUAUUUAAUGCAACACCACUUGGAGGCAGGUAACUUUAAACCCAUUGGACAAAUGAUAAAACAGGCUCAGAGAGACUGCAAGCCUCCACCACAGUCUCAGCUAGUCAGCAAUUGAAUCCAGGUCUGUUGCUUUCCAAAGUCACCAUUCUUAACCUCCAAGCUUCUGCUGAAUAGACCAUUACACUGGUACAGCACUUCAGAAUUCACUGUUGCUAAUCCUGUUUCCCCUCUGAAAAUUCUCAAACCCCAGCACUCAUGACCAUGAAAUGGAGAGGUGGUGAAUGGUUGAGAGGCCCAAACAUUCUGCAUUAGGAGAGACUCCCAGUCGGGGAUCAGCAAUCUUCUUUUUUUUUUCUUCAUUUUUCAGAAGCACUGUAGGUGAUUCUAUAUGAGGGAUCAGGAGGGGUCUUUGGAUCAUACUUUGAGAAACGAUUUCCCAACCUGGGAGCUCCUGGGGAGAGUGGCCUCCUUUAUCCCGUUACCUCCAGUCACCUGCAGAGUGCUCUAGCACACAGUAGGUGCUCAAUCAGUAUGAGGGGUGGUUCGGUUUGAUGGGAUCCUCUCUGUGUGUCUUAUUUUAAACUGUAUUGGCACCUCUAUACUCUCUAAUCCUCUUGAAAGGAAGCAGAGAAUAAAUAAAUAAAAUUUAUGUUUCUAACAUGCCCCAAGCACUGGUGAGACGACGUCAUUCAUAGUCACGCAGCCUCUUCCUUAUGUGAAGACAGCUGAGCCUUUCUGACCUCCAGCAGGUCAGCAUGAAGGUGAUUCUGUCAGACCUUAUUGUUGUAUUGAAUAUUAACGAUAGAAUUAUCAUUGCUCAGAAAACAUCCCUGUAUGCACAUCUGUUAGUGUGCAUAAGCAUCAUUACCUAUUACAAAUACAAAUUAUUUGCUAUGUUGUUUCUAAAUAGUUUGAACUCUAGCUUGUGUUCUGGGUAUGGUCUGUAGUUUUGUAUGUACUGCAGUUUGUGAGAACUGAUCUGUGUGCACUUUAAUUAUCUGUGCAUGUUAUUUUUGAUGAAUCCUGAUUUGGAAAGUAGAUAUCAUUACUUACAUUUUAUGGAUGAGGAAAGUGAGGCUCAGAGAAACUAAGUAAUCUUCCCAUGAUGGCAUAGCUAGCAAGUGGCAGAGGCAAAAUUUUAGUAAGUUCUGUAUGCUCUAAAAUAACAUUUCUAUUUCACUAUGUAGCCUAAAGAACAAAUGGUGAUUUUAAAAACGGAAUAAAAGAAAAUACUGGAGAAAGUAGUGGUAAUUAUUAAUGAUGGUUGCUUUUGAGCAAUAAGAUUUUGGUUCUUUAUAUUGUUUUAUAUUUCCUAAAUUGUAUAUGUAAAACUUUUAUAAUUGCAGGAAACCUUACACACUCACACACACACGCACACACACACUCACUAUCAGGGAGCACACUAUCUGGCUAAACUUAAUUAUUGUUAAUUCAUUAAGAGAUUUUUGUUUUAGCAGUUCAUUUUAAUAUAUGAGUUUUUGAUUUAAAAAAACCAACAGAGCAAAUAUUAGAGCACAGUAGGACUGCCUCAUAAUUAAAAUAUUCUCACCACAAUGAAACUAGAUUAUUGCCAGUGGAAUAAGUUUUGAUUUGAUUCUUAGCAACAGAAAACAGAACACUAAUUGUUAUUGUUUAAAAACCACAAUUUUUAGAAUCUUAUGUUUGCCUGAUGUUUCAGACUGAGCUGAGGAUGGAGUGAAGACUCUUCUUUUUUCUACCACUCUGAAAGUUCAUAAGGGAUUUUCUCUCCUACCAUUUCUAUUAAUUUCAAUAAUCACUGAUUCAUACAUCCCAUGUACCAGGCACUGUGUGUGAAGAGUGAAUGAUUUCCUGAUCGUUGAUUACCAGAAUUGGACUUGAUUCCCAGCAGCCUUGUAAGAUCUCAUCUGUUGGUGAAUAUUGGUAGCAGUGAUGAAGGGAUGAUUCAACAACAAAAGUUCUGGAGAGAAAAUAGACAUCUCCCUCCUCAUUCAACACCUUCAGUCCUAUGGCCAUAAUCCUCCCAGUUAGAAGGCAUUUGGGGAAAUAAGGAACAUAAUUAGCAUUUACCUAUACAGAAUCACAACUAAGUGAUUGCUUACUACUUUCUCUCUUUUUAUGCCUUCCUAUUUCUUUCCCUAGUGGGUUCAGCACGGGAAAAGUCUGGCUUUGUAUCAUCCCAGAGUCAUGGAGCAGAUUUCCAUACUGACCUCAAAGACCAUCUGAUGAAAACAUGAUCCCUUUUGUUCUAUAGGGAUAUAUAAAAACAUUAUAAAUCAGCAUCUUAUUUGUUCAUUUAUAUCUUCCAUUUCUGUGAUGUUUGACAGUUGUUUUGUCGAUGGCAACUACCAUAUGUUAAAAAUGAGCUUCUGGAAUGCAAUUCUGGCUUGUGUCCAUCAGAGAAGGAAAUUCUGGAAUGCCCUACAAUUUGUACUUUCCUAGCAAUUCUUGAUUCUUAAAACAUUCUAUGAAUGCUCUCAUUGGAGAAAAAGUUAUAACAAAAUCCACUUCUUUUAAGCAAUCACAAAAAUUAGGUGUCUGAAUGUACAAGGUAUCGAUGUUUGGGCAAAAUUGAAAUUAUUGUGCUUGUUUCAUGGGAAAAGCUUAGGGGAGUUUAUUGUCCUAAGUUGGGUUUCCUGAAAACAGACUCACAGCCUUUGAGGCAGAGAUUUGCAUGCUGGCAGUUUGUUUGGGAAUGAACUUGAGAAUAUUUGUAAGGAAGAGAAGGAUGCAGGAAGAAGCAGAGGGAGAAGUUGUACCGCAAUGCAGUUGCAAUGGAGGACUCAGCCAAUCUUACUGGGAGCUCUGGAGCUGCAAUGGGCCUUCAGAAUUGUCACAAAUUGAGGCAAGGGGCUGCGCCUUUGUAUCCCUGCAUGAAUAAAUUAUGAGACUCAGGCCACCUCUGGGGAGGGGCAAGGCUGCUUCCUUUGGCAGAGGGCAGUUCUCAGAAAGGAUCACAAUUGUGAACUUUUAGCAACCAAUCCUCUCUGCUUCUGGGAGAAUGAGUGCCUCAGUCAUGAAUUGGUUACACCACAUUCCCACUGUUUUGUAUCUUCACAAAAUGUGUGCAUGUUUCAAAGAGGGAAUCAUCGGACCAUCCUUUUAGUUAGAAUUGUACUGGGUUUUGACAGUCCUUAAACUCAGGUGCACAAGAAAUAUCAUAUUAUGUAUGAUAUUACCUAAGUUCAACUUCAAGUCCCCAUCCUGCCGGGAUACAUUGGAAAUGUAACUUCAGUCAUGCUCAGGACUUCUUUUCUAACUUGGGCUAUUUCUAGGUUCCAGGGUCUUAAGCAGGACCAAGUCUUGGGGGCAGGGUAAAGAAGUAGGAAAUGGUUACUUAUAGCAUGGCCAUUCUGGUUGCCCCUGAGAAGACCACUGACCCCUUUUGCUUUGUCCCUUCAAGGCCAUGCUUGGGAAACACCUAUACCUAUGGUGCUACUUCCUUAGUCAUUUUUUUUCUGGACGUUUGUCACCUACAACAUUUAUAAGCCACUUCUUUUUCCUGCAAACGCCAAUCUCCUUGAAUUUUCAGCAACCAAAAUAAAAUUCUUCUUGGCUAGAGGCAGACAGGACUGGGUCCUCAAACCUUCCUUGAAGGAAAUACUUGGCAGCCUUCCUUUCUCAGGAAUCCAAUAAAGAAAGAAAAACAAAACAGGUAAGUUCUAUAUUAAAAGGGCCUGAAGAUUAAUUUUUUGCUAAAUCACUUCAAGGGUUCUUACUUGCUACAUAGUCUGGUUACAAGAAAAAAGUAACAUUUUUCAAUAGUCUCCGUUAAUUGGGUCUUAUAUACAAGACAAUUUCAAGAACAGUUGUCCAAAAUGACUCUUAAGUUGAAAGGUUGCCUCUUUGAGGCUAAGUUGGAAUAUAAACACAUUGAAACAUUUUCUUUUAAAUGUAUCCAAAUUUUAGGCUAUUUCUCUCCAAACUAGCCUGUGUAUUGUAAUGAUUUCUGUUAGCAAGCAUUUUGAACUUAAAACACUAUUUCUGACACACCAGCGAUGUAAUCAGCUACAGGCAGCCCCAAUCUUUGAAUGUGUUGCUUGCCAAAAAAUUGUUUGCACAUCUGUUUUUAUUAGACUAUAUGUUCUAAAUGUCACAAAACAAUAGCAUAAAUUGUGUGUGUGAUGUCUUUCUGUGUGUGUAAAGACUCUGAGCUCUAUAUGCCAGGGAUGUUUCCUUUCUCCCACUCUUUCUCCCUUAUCAUAGUAUUUAAUAUUUACAUAAGGAAACUAAUAUGUGCUCAAUGCAGAAAAACUCAGGAAACAAAGGAAAUAAAUUUUAAUCACCCAUAAUCUCAUCACUGAUAACAUUAGGUAUAUAACCUAGUAUUUUUUCUAAGCUUGAGAAUACAUACUUUUUACAUUUUUUAAACUUUUAUUUUAGGUUCAGGGGUACAUGUGCAUGUUUGUUAUAUAGAUAAACUCAUGUCACAAGGGUUUGUAGUACAGAUGAUUUUAUCACCCCAGUACUAAGCCUACAACCCAUUAGUUAUUUUUUCUGAUCCUCUCCUUUCACCCACCCUCCACCCUGCAGUAAGCCCCAGUGUGUUGUUCUCCUCUAUGUGUCCAUGUAUUCUCAUCAUUUAGCUCCCACGUAUAAGUGAGAACAUGUGGUAUUUGGUUUUCUGCUUCUGCGUUAGUUAGCUAAAAAUAAGACCUCCAGUUCCAACCAUGCCCAUGCAAAGGACAUGAUCUCAUUCUUUUUUAUGUCUCCAUAGUAGGGAA